rnacentral:lncRNA from 1 species
GCCUGCUCCCCCUUUCCAAAUGUGUGGACCCUUGGCACAGGGCGGCAGGGCCCAUUCUCCUGAUACUUGUUCCAGUCCUGUCCCGUUACGCUGUUACUGCCCCACACCGUUAUCCCCGUGGCAGUCCUGGUUCCAAUCCUGGUUUCAUUAUCUGAUCUGCAUCCCCGUUCCCACCCCACCAUCCCAGCUGUGGUUCUGGUCCCGUCCCAUUAUUCCCAUCCCUCCGACCCACUCCCAUUC